UUAACAAAAUAUUAGAAAUGGCAGGGGCAGCAACAGCAACAGCAACAGGUACUGUGAAAGCGGUGGCACUCAUCACCGGAGAACCCAAUGUUAGAGGCUCUCUUCAAUUCGUCCAACGCCCCAGUGGGCCCACCCAUGUCACGGGGAAGAUAACAGGCCUAUCACCAGGUCUUCAUGGCUUCCAUAUUCAUGCUCUUGGCGACACCACCAAUGGCUGUAAUUCCACUGGACCUCAUUUCAAUCCAUUAAAGAAGGACCAUGGAGCUCCAGCAGAUGAAGAACGUCAUGCAGGGGAUUUGGGCAACAUUUUUGCUGGAUCAGAUGGAAUUGCUGAGAUUUCAAUUAAGGACAUGCAGAUACCACUGAGUGGGCCACAUUCUAUCUUGGGGAGGGCUGUUGUUGUGCAUGCUGAUCCUGAUGAUCUUGGGAAAGGUGGACAUGAACUUAGCAAGACUACUGGUAAUGCUGGUGCGAGAGUUGGAUGUGGCAUCAUUGGACUUCAAUCAUCUGUUUAGAUUGACAGCUUUAGUUAAUCAGCAACUUAUCUGAGAUGUUUUUAUGGGAAAAGGAAAAAUGAAGAAAGAACAAUUUCCUAAAUUUUGCUGGGCUGUUCCAUCACACAUGGUUGUAGUAACCCACUCAAUAUUAUGUAGUAUCUUGAGUGAACAAAAUAAUGUAGUCAAUAAAUAGACGAAUUGUCAA
rnacentral:misc_RNA from 1 species